UUUGACCUGCCCAAAACCUACCGGAGAUAAUGCAGCGUCAGACUACCCGUGUAUCAGAGUGGCUUCUUUAAAGUCAACUGAGGUAGCAUUUGUGAAGGGAGGCGUAAUUUGCUGGGUCUCGAAAAUAAGUUUGGGCCAAAUUAUGAGACAUCACAGUAUUGAUCGCUGGCCAUUGAGGAAUCGAGGCGCUGUGGAUGUUUCUAAGUAACAUCUUAGGAACAUGAUUAGGCUUGAGUUAUAGGAGAGGGGCGCUGGCGACGUGUGAGCGAGGCGCCGUCCAGCAAAACCUUAGGGGCAGAAAUAGCGGUUAGAGAAUCCCUGCAGGAGUCGGGAGAAAGAAGCUGACUGGGGAGGGCCGGGGGCACGUGCGUAUGUGGCAGGGGACAGGUUCGCUGAACCAAAGAGGGACCGAAAGAGAAGCGGGAGCGAUUGGGAACAUUCUCAGUGACCUGUUGGAUGGGACUAGUGAGAAAAGCCGAGGAAUUGAAAUCAACUCUGAGAUGACGAGCUUGGCUGAGUGGGGGGGGAUUCACCACCAACGCAGACGGAAACACAGGAGAAAACGCGGGCGUUUAAGGGGUAAAGUGAAUAAAGGCAUGCAGGUUAUUAAAAAUAUUCACCAGAGGUCCCGUUGUGGCUCAGCGGGUUACAAACCCGACGCGUAUCCACGAGGAUGCAGGUUCGAUCCCUGGCCCUGCUCGGGGGGUUAAGGAUGCGGCGUUCCUGUGAGCUGUUGUGUAGGUCACAGACGCAGAUGCAGCUCAGAUCCUGCAUUGCCGUGGCUGUGUGUAGGCCGGCCAUGGAGCUAAUUGCAGCUCCAAUUAGAUCCCUAGCCUGGGAACUUCCAUAUGCCACAGCUACGGCCCUAAAAGAAAGCAACAGCAUUAAUUCAUUCAUUUAUUGUUUAUGAAAAACUGCCUUUGCAAAGUUACACAAGGACACUGAGUGGAGAAUCCUCUACUCUAAAGGUCCGCCCUUGUCCCACACCUAAAACAUCCCCAAGGAUUGAUUGGUCUCUUUACCGUCAACCUGCCCCCUCCCUACAGCCAGUCCUGCACUCCUUUCUUGGUGGGUAGCACAGUCAUCCCCCUGCCUCUUAGGCCGUGAAUCUUCCUUCCUCCGUGCCUCCCUGGCCCCCACAUCCUUGUGUCUCGUCAUCAAGUCUUGCCCAUUCCAGCUCAGACCUCUCUCGAGCGGACCUGGCCUCUUCGUCUCCAUGGCCUCUGCCUCACUCAAGAUUCCGGUCUUCUCACAUCUGCUUUACUGUCGAGCACCUCACCAAGUCAGUCCUCCAGGGCACUUCACCCCAGUGAACUCACACCAGUGACACAGCCGAAGGGCUCCUUGUGGGGAGUGCAAGUCCGACGUCCUGCUGUGAGGCGUAGCACUCGCAGGUUCCUGACUCACCCACGCGAAGACCUUUCCCUGCCCCGGCCUCACAGCUGCCAAACAACGUCCAGACUCUGUAAGAUGACCUAAGAAGCUUGGAUGGUGUUGUUUCUGCUCAUCCCUAGACUUUAUCUCCUUCGGUAGUGCCACCGUCUAACCCUUUAGGAAUUUCGGAUCUUUGUAACCUCUGAAUACUUCUUGCUGCUGCUUUGCAGGGGGUUUCCUCCACCUGCGUGUCCUUCCAGCCCCUGCUCCUCUGGAGUCCCCUCCCCUUUCAUACUUUCCCUGAAGCGUCUAUGCAUAAAUCACCUUCCUCUCGCCCUCUCCCCUACUUCUGUGUGAGGACAUACUUCCCCUGUCCCGCUUACAACAAUACCGUGCGUCACUUUUAAUGCCGCUGGCUCCUCGAGUCACCCACGGUCUCCCUGCAGGCAGAACAGUCCAAAUCCCACUCCACAAGCAGACUGGGCGGCUGUUUUGUUUCCGGCACCGUGAUUUUGCUCAAGAUACAGAGACGAGUAAGUUCCUCAUGUCAAGUUUCUGAAACUUGUGGACCAAAGGAUUGGAUCAUUCCAACACUGAAAAGGAGCUCAAAGCCUAAUAGGAGAGUCAAGGAAAAUAAAAUGUAAAAAGAAAAAAAUGACUUGGUACAGUCAAGAAAAUGACUUAUUACAGGUUAGAAUUUUAAUGGGUUUGGUUAAAAGCCGCUGCAAGACAUACAGACCAAGGUAGCCACAGUAUUAUCUUUAAAGCAACCCAUAGAGAUGAAAACAGAACAAAGUGAGAGUGAAUUUCCAAAUAUAAAAAUGACGGCAUUUUUCUGUUCUUCGGAAGAAGUCACUAGACCGAUGCAUUGCCACUGACUUUGUAUUCCCACCAACUGCAGUAAGUCUCAGCUCAGCUUUUGUCCGGUCAAAAUGGAGACAUGGUAUAAAAAUAAAUGUAUUUUAUGAAACAGUAGAGCAGGUAAGGUAUGCCUUUUCUCAUCAGCGCUACCUCCAGAAUCACCUAACCUGGCUUCUGACUGGUGGAAAUUUUGCUCCACGGCCGGCGUCAGCACAGGUAACCCAGCCACACACAUCCCCCCCGGGGUCUGUGCCGUCCUGUCCAGUUGCAAUUGCCGUCCGCUCCUUCUGUUUCCUAAUAUCUUCCUUAGUUCUUUUUUCCCUCCUCCAGUCAGAUUUGUUAAACAUAACAAAAUUCUCUAUACAAAGUGGCCUAAACCUUAAGACAUACUUUCUCUUUUUUUAUACUUCUUUUUAAAAAAUAAUAAUUCUUACUUCAUUUCUUUUUCUUAGUCACACCCAUGGCACAAAGUUCCCAGGCCAGGGACUGAACCUGCGCCACGGCAGCAACCCAAGCUGCUGCAGCGAAAGGGCUGGAUCUUUAACCUGCUGCUUCAUGACAGAAUUCCAAAACGAGAUACUUAACCACUAUUGCGAUAAGUUGAUCCACAGAGCAUCAAAAAGCGGCUUACUCUAAAAUCAAGAGACAAGCUCCCAGUGCACAGCACAUGAAGAGCCUAACUUCCAGGACUCUAAUAGUUCUAUACGAUAAAUAACAGGCUGCUGGGGAAAUGGGUACCAGACUUUAAGAGGCCAUUCCUGCGCCGCCACUGGGAUGCCAUCAUGUGUCUGGAUCCUGAUGUUCCCAUUAUCUGAUUCGAGGCUCUCCACAGGAAUAUUGUGGGAGCAGAGGUUAGCCUGGCUGCUUGCUGAGCUGGAAUUGCUCUCCCGGCACGUUCCUCUGACGGGGUCCCGAGGCAGCCCCGCUCCAGUCCUCGUGAGUCUGUGCGCAGGACUUCAACAGUGGGUGGAGUCUUCACUGUGUCCUCGAGGUGCUGCUCCAGGGUCACCUCCCUACCCCCAUCCUCCCAGGGCAGGAUCCUCACAGGCUCAUCCCCCUUUGUUCUUAAGUUCGAGUCCCCAGUUUAUCUUGCAGGUCACUGCACCAUCUGCCCCAGGCUAUUACCCUACCUCAAUAGGAGGCAGCGUCUUUCCAGUCUAAAACACUCCAAACACUUUCCCUGCCCAGGGCCUUUGUUAAAGGCAAGAUUAAACAAAAAGAGAGCAUAUCUAGAUCAGCAAAACUGUCUGGAAAUUAUUUGCUAUUUGAAAUUUCAAAAGCAAAAAGCACUAACAUAGUCAUGAUGGGAAAAGCUUGAGUCUGGUGGAAUUUGCAUCCACCUAUUUUGUGGUUUAGUCUUAUUUUGCUUCUUAAUUAUGUGAGUAUUACAUGUGUCUUGGUGAAGGAGAGAGCAAUGGCCUUCUCAGAACUGCAGUCUUCUGUAGGUCUUCAUUCAAUUCUGCCUUCAUUGUCUGAGUGAAGGCACCUCUUGACCUUCCACCUAUGGGUCCUGCUUCUCCUUAGUCUUGCUAGAAGCCUUCUCGACCCCCUCUGCAUCACUCCUUCCUGUUAGAAUCCCACUUGCGUCUCCAUUCCUCAGUCCUGUGGCCCCAGCUGGAGGCUGCCAUCCCCCUUAACCUAGGCGACAACGGCAACUUCAUAAUUGCUCUCACCAUUCCUCCUUCUAAUCCUUUCAAUCCAGUGUCCACAUGACAGCAAACCAUUUUUAGAAUGGGUCCUAUCACUAUCUGCUUAAGACCUUUCGGUAGCUUCUCAUUUCAUUAGAAUAAAAUCCACACUUCUCCUGCUGCCCCGUGAAAGCCCCAUCAUCUGGCUCCUGCCUCUCCAACAGCACUGUUCACUGGAUUUCCAUUAAGAUUUUUUUUUUCUUUUUAGGGCCACGCCUGUGGCAUAUGGAAGUUCCCAGGCUAGGGAUCAAGUCUGAGUUGUAGCUGCUGGCCUCUGCCACACCCACAGCAAUGAGGGAUCUGAGCUGUAUGUGCGUCUGACCCACACCACAGCUCAUGGCAACACUGGAUCCUUAACUCACUGAGCAGGGGCAGGGAUGGAACCUGCAUCCUCAUGGUACUGGUCAGGUUUGUAAUCCACUGAACCACAGCAGGAACUCUCAUAAAUAUUUUUAACAAGUGUCGUGUGUUUAUGCCUGUAUAGCAUUCUCUAUAUUGCAUUGUUACGCACUUUACCCCUUAGAAAGUCUGCUUCUUCUCCUGUGCCUCCCACCUCAACGAACGGCGACAUCCUCCCCACUUAGCCGAGCUCAUCGCCGCAGAGCUGAUCUCAGUUCUUCUGUCUUUCCUACUGGCCACAUCCUCCAUUAAGGGUCUCGCUCCAUCCCGUCACAAUCUCUUACCCUCAGGGUUUUGCACUUCCUGUUUCCUCUGCCUGGAAAUUUUCUGCCUCUUCCUAAAAUGGCAGCUUCUUUCGUCUUUAGAGCUCAGCUUAAAUAUCACUCUUUGGCCCAAAGUGCAUCCGUCUGGGCGAGGAAAGAAGGGAAUGGGGCACCACUGUCCAGUUUUCCCAGCACCACUUGUUGAAAGACUGUCUUGAGAGAGACAAAAGAUGGCGGUGUGGAAGGACUCAAGCUCACCUCCUCUCAUGAGAAAACCAAUGUUACAACUAACUGCUGAACAGCCUUCAACAAAACAGACCGGAAGCUUCCAAAAAAGGUCUUCUAUACCCAAAGACAAAGAGGAAGUCACAUCAAGACGGUAGGAGGGUGCUGUCAUGAUGUGAGCAAUCCCGCAACUGCCGGGUGGGUGACCCACAGCCUGGAAAACAACUGUAAGCAGAGGUUCUUCCACAAGAGUGAGAGUUAGGACCUCAACAGCAGCUUCCCAUGCCUGGGGGUCUGGCAUUGACAGGAGGAGCCCCCAAGCAUUUGUCAUUGAAGGCCAGCAAGGCUUGAGCACAUGAGCUCCACAGGACUGGAGGAAACAGACUCUGCUGUUGGAGGGUACACACAGGGUUUCUGGUGCACUGGGUCCCAGGGCAAAGCAGAGACUCCGUAAGAAUCUGGAUCAGGCCCAUCUAUGGGCUUUGGAGGGUCUCCUGUGUGAGCUCCUCCAGAGGCUGCCAUUUUGGAAAAAUCUGGCCCCACUAAUCAGGGCAAGCAGCAAACAGGGUGGGUACGCAGCUCCACACAUCAGCAAACAGGCUGCCUAAAGUCCUCCCAGGUAUACAGCUGCCUCAAAUCGUACUCAGAGACAAAGCCCCCCCCCACCAGAGGGUCUCAGCUCCACAUCCAGUGGGUAGGCACCAAUCCCUUCCAUCAGGAAGCCUGCCGCAAGCCCCUGUAGCAACUUCAUCCACAAGGGGGCAGACACCGGAAGAUACAACCCUGGUAGCCUGCAAAAAGGAGACCACACACAAAGCUCUACAAAAUGAAAAGUCAGAGAAAUAUGAGCCAGGUGAAGGAAAAAGACAAAGCCCCAGAAGAACAGCUAAGUGAAGUGGAGAUAAGAAACCUACCUGAAAAAGACUAGAGUAAUGCCAGUCAGGAAUGACCCGUGAUCUCAAAGAUAAACCAGAAGCAAAUAGCAAUAAGUUAAAAGAAACAUUUAAAAAAGGCUUAGACGAUUUAAAAAUUGAACAAACAGAGAUGAUCAACACAAUAACCGAGAUAAAUUCACUGGCAGGAAGCGGUAGCACAAUACAGGAGGCAGAGAGCCAAACGGUGAAGUAGAAGACGGACUGGUGGAGAUCACUGAUGUGGAACAGAAAAAGAACAAAGAAUGAAAAGAAUUGAGGACAGUUUAAGAGAACUCUGGGACAACUUUAAACACACCAACAUUCACAUUAUAGGGAUGCCAGAAGGAGAAGAGAGAAGGGGCUGGAGAAAACAUUUGAAGAAAUAAUGACUGCAAAUUUCCCUAACAUGGGGAAGGAAUCACUCACUUAAAUUCACGAAGCACAACAAGUAUCAUAUAAAAUAAACCCAAGGAGGAACACCCCAAGACACAUAUCAAUCAAAAUUAAAGACAGGGAGUUCCCAUUGUGGCACAGCAGAAACAAAUCCGACUAGGACCAUGAGGUUGCAGGUUCAAUCCCUGGCCUCACUCAGUGGGUUAAGGAUCCGGCAUUGCCAUGAGCUGUGGUGUAGGUUGGAUCUGGCGUUGUUGUGGUUGUGGCAUAGGCCAGCAGCUGCAGCUCCAAUUAGACUCCUAGUCUGGGAACCUCCAUAUGCCACGGGUACAGCCCUAAAUGGACAAAAGACAAAAUAAAUAAAUAAAUAAAUAAAAUAAAAAAUAAAUAAAAGCGAAAAUAUUGAAAGCAGCUAGGAAAAAGCAACAAAUAACAUACAAGGGAACCCCAAUAAGGUUAUCAGCUGAUUUUUCAGUAGAAACUCUGCAGGCCAGAUAUACUUAAAGUGAUGAAAGGAAAAAAAUCUGCAACCAAUAAUACUUCACCCAGCAAGGCUCUCCUUCAAACCUUGCUGGGUAAGUAGAAAUAGAAUGGUAGAAAUAGAAAUUAUACUAUUAUACUAAUGUAUUAUAUUAGAAUAGUAGAAUUUCUAUUUUCUACUAAUAGGAAAUAGUCUCUUUCAGGUUGAAGGAGAAAUCAAAAGCUUUACAGACAAACAAAAGCUAAGAGAAUUCAGCGCCACCAAACCAGCUUUACAACAAAUGCUAAAGGAAUUCCUCUAGGCAGAAAAGAAAAGGCCACAGCUAGAAACAGGAAAAUUACAAAUGAGAAGGUGCAUCAGUAAAGGCAAACAUAUGGUAAAGGUAGGAGAUCAUCCCCACACAAACAUGCUACCAAAAGUAGCAAUCAUGAGAGGAGGGUACAAAUGCAGGAUCCCGGAAAUGCAUUUGCAUUUAAGAGACCAGCAACUUAAACCGAUCUUGUAUACACAGACUCCUAUACCAAAAUCUCAUAGUAAUAGUAACCGCAAACCAAAAAUCUGCAAUAGAUACACGCACAAAUAAGAAAAAGCAGUCCAAAAACAACACUAAAGAUAGUCAUCAAACCACAAGAGAAGAAAUAAAAGAAGGGAAGAAAAAAGACCAACAAAAACAAAUCCAGAACAGUUAACAAAAUGGCAGUAAGAACAUAGAUAUCAAUAAUUACCUUAAAUGUGUAUGGACUAAAUAUUCCAAACAAAAGACAGACUGGCUGAAUGGUUACAAAAACAAGACACAUAGAUAUGCUAUAUAAAGAAGAUGUAGUACCUAUAUACAAUGGAAUAUUACUCAGCCAUAAACAGGAAUAAAAUAAUGCCAUGUGCAGCAACAUGAAUGGACCUAGCAAUUAUCACACUAAGUAAAGUUAAGCAGUGAAAAACAAAUGUCAUAUGAUAUCACUUAUAUAUGAAAUCUAAAAAAAAGAUACAAAUGAACUUAUUGCAGAACAGAAACAGACCCACAGACUUUGAAAACAAACCUAUGGUUACCAGAGGGAAUAGGUGGGGUGGGGGUGAGGGGACUGGGGGUUUGAGAUUGCCAUAAGCCUCCUGAAGUACAUGGGAUGACUGGCCAACAGCUACCUGCCCUAUAGCACAGGAAACUCUACCAAUAUUCUGUGAUAAUGUAUAUGAGAAAAAAAUAUGAAAAAGAAUGGAUAUGUGCACAUGUGUAACUGAAUCCCUUUGUUGUACAGCGGAAGUUAUUGCAACAUUGUAAAUAGCCUAUACUUCAAUAAAACUUUUAAAAACAAGGGGAAAAAAAGAAAAAAAAAUCCCCUUCUCAGGAGUUCCCAUUGUGGCAUAGCAGUAAUGAACCCAACUAGUAUCCAUGAGGAUGAGAGUUUCAUCCCUGGCCCUGCUCAGUGGGUUAAGGAUCUGGUGUUGCCACGAGCUGUGGUGUAGCUCACAGAUGCGGCUCAAAUCUGGAGUGGCUGUGGCGUAGGCUGGGAGCUACAGUUCUGAUCUGACCUCUAGCCUGGGAACUUCCAUGAGCCACACUUGCAGCCCUAAAAAAGAAAAGAAAAAAAAAAA
rnacentral:lncRNA from 1 species